rnacentral:rRNA from 1 species
ACACAUGCAAGUCGAACGAAGCACUUCAUAAAGUUUACUUUAAAAAGUGACUUAGUGGCGGACGGGUGAGUAACGCGUGGGUAACCUGCCUUACACAGGGGGAUAACAGUUAGAAAUGACUGCUAAUACCGCAUAAAACAGCAGAGUCGCAUGACUCAACUGUCAAAGAUUUAUCGGUGUAAGAUGGACCCGCGUCUGAUUAGCUUGUUGGUGGGGUAACGGCCUACCAAGGCGACGAUCAGUAGCCGGCCUGAGAGGGUGAACGGCCACAUUGGGACUGAGACACGGCCCAAACUCCUACGGGAGGCAGCAGUGGGGAAUAUUGGACAAUGGGCGAAAGCCUGAUCCAGCGACGCCGCGUGAGCGAUGAAGUAUUUCGGUAUGUAAAGCUCUAUCAGCAGGGAAGAAAACGACGGUACCUGACUAAGAAGCCCCGGCUAACUACGUGCCAGCAGCCGCGGUAAUACGUAGGGGGCAAGCGUUAUCCGGAUUUACUGGGUGUAAAGGGAGCGUAGACGGCAUCACAAGUCAGAAGUGAAAAUCCGGGGCUCAACCCCGGAACUGCUUUUGAAACUGUGGAGCUGGAGUGCAGGAGAGGUAAGCGGAAUUCCUAGUG